CUACGGGCCGCAGCAGUGAGGAAUAUUGCACAAUGGGGGGAACCCUGAUGCAGCAACGCCGCGUGGAGGAUGACGCAUUUCGGUGUGUAAACUCCUUUUAUAUGUCAAGAAAAUGACGGUAGCAUAUGAAUAAGCACCGGCUAACUCCGUGCCAGCAGCCGCGGUGAAUACGGAGGGUGCAAGCGUUACUCGGAAUCACUGGGCGUAAAGGACGCGUAGGCGGGUUGGAAAGUCAGGUGUGAAAUCCUACAGCUUAACUGUAGAACUGCACUUGAAACUUCUAAUCUAGAGUAUGGGAGGGGGGGAUGGAAUUAGUGGUGUAGGGGUAAAAUCCGUAGAUAUCACUAGGAAUACCUAAAGCGAAGGCGAUCUCCUGGAACAUUACUGACGCUAAGGCGUGAAAGCGUGGGGAGCAAACAGGAUUAGAUACCCGGGUAGUC
rnacentral:rRNA from 1 species